UGGGGAAUAUUGCACAAUGGAGGAAACUCUGAUGCAGCGACGCCGCGUGAGUGAAGAAGGUCUUCGGAUCGUAAAACUCUGUCCUUGGUGACGAAAAAAAUGACGGUAGCCAAGGAGGAAGCCCCGGCUAACUACGUGCCAGCAGCCGCGGUAAUACGUAGGGGGCGAGCGUUGUCCGGAUUUACUGGGCGUAAAGGGUGAGUAGGCGGUAAUAUGUGUCAGAUGUAAAAGGCUAUGGCUUAACCAUAGUUGGCAUUUGAAACUGUAUUACUUGAGUGCAGGAGAGGUAAGUGGAAUUCCUAGUGUAGCGGUGAAAUGCGUAGAUAUUAGGAGGAACACCGGUGGCGAAGGCGACUUACUGGACUGUAACUGACGCUGAGUCACGAAAGCGUGGGUAGCAAACA
rnacentral:rRNA from 1 species